UACGUAGGGCGCAAGCGUUGUCCGGAAUUAUUGGGCGUAAAGAGCUCGUAGGCGGCUUGUCACGUCGGGUGUGAAAGCCCGGGGCUUAACCCCGGGUCUGCAUUCGAUACGGGCAGGCUAGAGUGUGGUAGGGGAGAUCGGAAUUCCUGGUGUAGCGGUGAAAUGCGCAGAUAUCAGGAGGAACCCCGGUGGCGAAGGCGGAUCUCUGGGCCAUUCCUGACGCUGAGGAGCGAAAGCGUGGGAGCGAACAGG
rnacentral:rRNA from 1 species